rnacentral:rRNA from 1 species
UACAGAGGUCUCGAGCGUUAGGCGGAAUCACUGGGCUUAAAGCGUGUGUAGGCGGAUUGGUAAGUACCUUGUGAAAUCCCACGGCUCAACCGUGGAACUGCUCGGUAUACUGCCUGUCUUGUGCAACCUAGGGGCGAGCGGAACAGAUGGUGGAGCGGUGAAAUGCGUAGAUAUCAUCUGGAACGCCAAUGGUGAAAACAGCUCGCUGGGGGUUUGCAAGACGCUGA